UAGGGAAUCUUCGGCAAUGGGGGGAACCCUGACCGAGCAACGCCGCGUGAGUGAAGAAGGUUUUCGGAUCGUAAAGCUCUGUUGUUAAGGAAGAACGAGUGUGAGAAUGGAAAGUUCAUACUGUGACGGUACUUAACCAGAAAGGGACGGCUAACUACGUGCCAGCAGCCGCGGUAAUACGUAGGUCCCGAGCGUUGUCCGGAUUUAUUGGGCGUAAAGCGAGCGCAGGCGGUUAGAUAAGUCUGAAGUUAAAGGCAGUGGCUCAACCAUUGUAGGCUUUGGAAACUGUUUAACUUGAGUGCAGAAGGGGAGAGUGGAAUUCCAUGUGUAGCGGUGAAAUGCGUAGAUAUAUGGAGGAAUACCAGUGGCGAAAGCGGCUCUCUGGUCUGUAACUGACGCUGAGGCUCGAAAGCGUGGGGAGCGAACAGG
rnacentral:rRNA from 1 species